rnacentral:rRNA from 1 species
GUCUACGGCCAUGCCACCCUGAACAAGCCUGAUCCCAUCUGAUCUUGGAAUUGGAAGCUAAGCAGGUUUGGGCCUGGUUAGUACUUAGAUGGAAGACCACCUAGGAAGACCAGGUGCUGUAGGCA